GACGAACGCUGGCGGCGUGCCUAAUACAUGCAAGUAGAACGCUGAAGGAGGAGCUUGCUUCUCCGGAUGAGUUGCGAACGGGUGAGUAACGCGUAGGUAACCUGCCUGGUAGCGGGGGAUAACUAUUGGAAACGAUAGCUAAUACCGCAUAACAGUAGAUAUCGCAUGAUAUCUGCUUGAAAGGUGCAAUUGCAUCACUACCAGAUGGACCUGCGUUGUAUUAGCUAGUUGGUGAGGUAACGGCUCACCAAGGCGACGAUACAUAGCCGACCUGAGAGGGUGAGCGGCCACACUGGGACUGAGACACGGCCCAGACUCCUACGGGAGGCAGCAGUAGGGAAUCUUCGGCAAUGGACGGAAGGCUGACCGAGCAACGCCGCGUGAGUGAAGAAGGUUUUCGGAUCGUAAAGCUCUGUUGUAAGAGAAGAACGAGUGUGAGAGUGGAAAGUUCACACUGUGACGGUAUCUUACCAGAAAGGGACGGCUAACUACGUG
rnacentral:rRNA from 1 species